GUCAGGGGAAGGGGGCUCCCCCUCUUCUUGGUGGGGGGGGGGGGGUGCUUCCAGGCUGCUCUCCACCCAGAGUCUCACUUUUGACCACACAGACAUCUCCACAGCCUUUUAGUGCCACCAUUAGGAAGCCACCAGGGCACAGAGGAUCAUUUCCAGCCCAAUUCCAGCCACCAUACCCUAGACCCCAUUCUCCCUAUCUUCCCCUGUGGCCUUAAGCCAGUCCCCUGCCCUCUGUGGAUUCCUGGAAGGGUUGGACCAAUGAUCCAAACUUUUCCAUUGGUUCUAAAAUGUAACUGUAGAAGGGGACCUUUCCUUCCUUACCCUUCAGCCAGCCAGGGCCAGGCCCAUCUGAGCUUUGCCGAGCAGCCCUGUUUUCCCCUGAAACACCAAGUCUCCCCACAUCUCAUUCUUCACCUCCUUAUCCCCCAGAGGCCAGGAACAUGCCAUUCAGAUCCCUGCUGCCAAUGCAGUCAGGUGGGCCACUCCCCUGAUGGCCGCAGGUUGGGCCCAGCACAGUCCCAAGACCCUCUGGUGAAGCCUGGAGUCAUUUCCCUGUUGGCCCCAGAGACGUCACACAUUCCAGAACAAGGCAGAUUCUAAGAAAUAGGAGCUAUUGUUUGCCGGUGCAUCAUCUCAUAGCUUCCUAUCCAGUCUCCUUGGUGACACCAUGUUGGCAGGGAUGGCAAAGGCGGGGUGGGUCCGAGCACCCUCUACAUGCCUGCAGGGCCUCCGCCUGCCUCCCACCACCUCGCUUGCUCAGAGCAUGCCCCCUCAGUUCCUCCGCUUGGACCCUCAUCGAAGUUCCUUGUCCCAUCUCUGCGGAGGAGGAAACUCAGUACUUUAUAGGCUGGAAAUUAAAAAACCAAGAUACCAGCUGGAAUAUACUCACGUAAGGGGAACCGUGAGAGAAGAGAUCUUCCUGGCCCAUUUGGUGGGCUGAAUGGAGUGACCUGUGCUAGGAACCCCCUCGGCACCUCGGGGGUCUCUUCAGACUGAGAGCGGCGUCCUGACAGGACAAACCCACACCUGGGAGGUGAAACACUGAUCUCAGGUCGCACCGACUCACACGGCAACACUCAUUCAUCACCCUGCGAGCUGAUUUCAGGGCACCACUUACGGAUCUCAGAGUCCAGUUCCAGACCCUUCAACCCAACGUUCCCAUGGAGGAGGGCUCUGCUAGGAGCCACGCCUGUCCCGGUUGCCAGACGCAUUUGGCAGACAGAGUACCUACAAUUCCACUGUUGUUACCGAGGCAAAUAAGAAUUUAUUGAUCCUGGCAGCUCUGACAGUCUCAAGAGUCUGGCAAGCUCUGAAUGUCACCUCUUCCGGGAAGCAGACCCUAAUUCCCAAGGCGCUGGCCUCCCCCUCCCCCACAGCCUCCUACCAUCACAGGGACACAAAACUGGAAGCACAGACAUGCGCUCAGGACUGGAGACUCAAGAACAGAGGGCUCCUGGGCAUGAAGCAUGGCGGAGCUCCCCGAGUGGGCAAAGCCAUCACCAGGCUCUGCCCAGCAUUACGCCUGCAGCGCCCUGCUUGGGCCCAGCCCUCCCUGCCCCCUGAGCACUGGACCUGUGUCCCUCUCGGAACAGCCCCUUCCUUCAGGUGAACACUUCCCCACAGCAGUCUCUGCCUGUGUGGUCACCCUGCUGGCCACGCCACCCCCCCCUCCCCACUGCAAGCCACCACCCCCCUCCCCCUGCAGCCCCUGGCUCUGCACCUACACCCUGCAGCAUUCAGCAGGUUUCUCAUGAAGGGAUCCUUUAAAGGCAGUCCCGUUUUCUCUUCUUCGGGGAAGCCAGACUUGACUGCUUCAGCCUGCAGAGACGUCUUCCUCCUCCAGGCCCUCCGAGCACCUAUUCCUUGUGCCACACUCGUGUGACAUGACAAGUUUGGGGUGUCUUUAACAAAUCUUUUCUCCGAGGAAUGCCUGUAUGAUUCGAACAAUAGGACUGGACAGAAGUGGACUUUGAACUGUGAUGCGGGUCCCUCACAGCCUUAGGCCAGGAAGUGGGGGGCUCUGGGCCACAACGACCAAGCCUCCGUCCCCAAGCAAGCGCCCUGCUGCUCGGCCCGUCCCUGACCUCAGACGAGGUGGCUCUCUGCAGCUGAGGCUGCCCCCGA